UCCGAUAUGGUGUAACGGCUAACAUUACCGCCUUUCAAGUUGAAGGUUCGCGGUAGCUCGGGGUUCGAUUCCCCGUAUCGGAG